ACUUCCCUCUGGAGCUGGGCAAGGCACUGGGGAAACGUGGGCCUGAGCAGGACUUUGCAGCCAAGGCCACUGGACUAGCUUGAGAGUCCUGGGCAGCAUCCAGGCACGGGCUCCAGGCCUUCUGCCCCAGCUCGAGGUGCCAUAGCAGGUGCCUCUCAUGGGAUUGGGGCAAGUGGCACAGUCUUGAGGCUCCCCCAGUCAGACCCUUCCCCCUUCUCCCCAGGCCAUGGUGGGCAGGUGGCCACUUCCGUUGCUGCCUGUGUCUGAGGACAUUGGCCCAGGGUUGGCAAGAAGAGGAAGGUGUUGCAUCAACAUGCAGCACAUUCACCUGACAAGGAGCUGGCCGCAGCCUCCGCUGCCAAACGGUGACGGUGCUGGCUGGUGCCCCCAGGAGCUGUUCACCACCUCCCGGGCUAAUGGCGCUUGCUGCCUGGCACACAGCAGGUGACUACACUGCAUGGCUUAUAAAUGUGGCCUCUGCCAGGAAAUCCUGGGAAAGAGCCAGGGAGGUGACGUUUUAUCCACGAGCCUGCUAUGGCUUAGCCUAGCCCUCCCCUAACUGUGACCAAGCUCUGGAUGAGACACAGACAACUACUGAGGACCUGCAAAGUAAGGAGACUGCAGGGCGGAGGCGGAACUUGGAGGAGUGACCUGCCGUGGAGUUUCUGGUUUCCUCCUUGUGGCUUUGUCUGGAGGGCAAGCCCCACUCUCAGAUCCACAUGGCAACACAAGCAGCUAAAACGCAGAUAGAAACCCCAACCUGGGAAAAGGAGUCCUACAGCAGAAUGGAGACAAAGGAAAGCCAGCGAACGUGAAGACAGAUAAAUAGAAAAUAUCCACUCCGAAGAACGAAGAUAAAGAGGAAAAACAAGAACAAGCAUCACGGGCCAGCUGGGGUCGUAUCGAAAGGCCCAGCACAUACCUGGUUCCAGAAAGCAAGGAGGAGGUUGGGGCAGAAAGUUAUUUGAAGGAAUAUUGGCUGAAACAUCCCAAGUCUGGUGAAAUACAUAAAUGUAAGCAUUCAAGAAGCUCAGUGAACCCCAAAGAAGAUAAACAGAAAGGAAAAUAGACCCAGACAUAGCAUCAUCAAAUUGCUGAAAACUGAAGAAAACAUCUGGAAAGCAGCUAGAGAAAAACAACACAUUUCGUACACAAAAGCAGUGACUCCAGUGACUACAGAAUUCUUGCCAGAAACCACGGCAGCCAGGAGACAGCAGAACGAUGUCUUUAAUGCAUGAAAGGAAAGGUUUCUCCUUGCAAGGUGUUUGUUCAUUUCUUCCAAGUUGUGGAAUAUAUGGGCAGAAGAUUGGACACCAUCCCCCUCGACUCUUUUUUCCCAUCUGUAGGGUCUGCGGUGAUGUCCUUUUUAGCCUCCAUGUUUGUAAUGAGGGUCUCUUUGUUUUGGGGUCAGUCUGGCCAGCAGCUUAUCAAUUGUAUUGAUCUUUUCAAAGAAUCAGCUUGGGUUUCAUUUAUUUUCUCUAUUUUCUGUUUUUGUUUUUUGUUCAGCUGAUUUCCACCCUGAUCUUUAUUACCUUCUACUUUCCGCAUGCGUUUUGUAAUUUAUUUUUCCCUUACUAGUUUCUCCAGGUGAAAGCUCCUAUCAUAGUUGGCAAGGGUUUUCUGUAAAGGGCUAGAGAGUAAAUAUGUUUGGUUUUGUGAGCCACGUGGUGUCUGUUGCAACCACUCAACUGCUGUUGUAGCGUGAAAGCAGCAACAGAAAACACAUAAAAUACCAAGUUGUUCUCCAGCAUAACUUUAUUUUCAACAGCAAGAAGGGGCCAGACAUGGCCGGUGGGCUGUAGCUUGCUGGCUCUUGGCUUAGAGUGAUUUGUGAUCUCUUCCUUUUUUAUCGUUUCAGCAAUUACUGCUGUAAAAUCUAUCCUAAACACCAGUCAAUCUGCAUCCCACAAAUGUUGAUAUGUUGUUUUAAUUUCCAUUGAAUUCAAAAUAGUGUCUAAUUACCUCUGCAUUAACCCUGUGCUUCUGCGCUUUGACAUCUGGGGUGACCCAGGAGGGGCUCCCCCUCCAAGGGCUUCCCAGCAAGAUCACCCUUCAUAAGCAAAUCAAGGAUUCCAGAGCCCACACCCCAACCGCUCCCCAACUGGGCCACACUCUGGGCCAACGUCCCCCUGCCCUAAUCACCCCAGGGCCAGGAGCUACACCCAGACCAGCUGGCAUUAAUGCAACCAGCCAGUUCUCCACCUGUCCACCCCCUGGCCUGGUCCUUCCCACACCACGUUCCUCGCACCCUCUGCCUCCUGGCCUACCUGGUGCUUGCCCUGUGCCCCUUCACCGUGGUGAUGCGGCCAGCUCUGUCCUCUUGGGACCCGUGACAAAUCAUCUUUUUGAUGGUGGUUGUCUCCUGACCUGUGGGCCUCACCCUACCUGAAUAACAAUGAAAGUUACAUUUUAAAAAUACCAGGUCACCUCCUCUGUUGAUAUGUUGUUUUAAUUAACAACUUCUAAACAACUCAUGAGUUCUUUUGGUUUUUUUGAGAUGGAGUCUUGCUCUGUCAGCCUGGCUGGAGUGCAGUGGCACAAUCUCGGCUCACUGCAACCUCUGCCUCCUGGGUUCAAAUGAUUCUUGUGCCUCAGCCUCCCGAGUAGCUGGGAUUACAGGUGUGGGCCACCAUGACCAGCUAAUUUUUGUAUUUUUAGUAGAGACGGGAUUUCACCAUGUUGGUCAGGCUGGUCUCAAACUCCUAACCUCAAGUGAUCUGCCUGCCUCAGCCUCCCAAAGUGCUGGGAUUACAGGCGUGAGCCACGACGCCGGUCGCUCACGAGUUAUUUAGAAUUGAGUUGCUUAAUGUUUCAGGAUGUUCUGUAUUGGGUUCUCCUUUCAUUCUAAUUCUGGGAUAGUCAAGGAACACAAGUCUCAACAAAUCUUGAGAUUAUUCUUACUUUGUUCUCUGCACGACUUGAGUCUUUUAAGAUCUACUGAGACUUGUGCUGGGACCCAGCGCGGUCGGCCUUGGUCACUGCUCUGCGUGCCCUGGAGAAGCAUGCACCGCUGCUGGGGUGCAGUGUCUGGCACGUGCCAUGGUCCAGCUGGCCCCCGAUGUUCUGUGGGGGCAUUGCUCCCCAGCGUGUCCGGACAGGUUCUUGCUGAGCACCGGAACCCUGAACAUCCAGGGAAUGAGGCGUCAGACACAGUGGGGGAGCUCCAGCCAGCGAGCGCCUGCUCCCGCUCCGGGAAGCGCUCCUGGUCCAUGGCAUCACCGUCCUCAGGCGCAGUCAGGCCUGGGGAUGUUUCCUGCCACCGGAAGUGCCCUGAAGGUGUCCUGGUGGCCGCCGUGUGAAGGGAUGAUGUGACUGUGCACCACAGUCCCCAUUUCAGGAGCACGAUUCACCCCGGGACGCGGUCCUGAGACCGUCCCACUCUUUAGGGGCUGUGGGGGAUGGAGGAGGGGCUCAUGAGAGUCACCCAGACCCACAGUUCACCCUGCAUUUUCCCAGUGGUCCUGGGCAGGCCACACUCUCGGCCUCCAAGAACUCGCACCCCUCCCAUGACAGAGGAGCCUGGGAUCAGGGAGAGGGGAUCGUGUGCUCGGGGGCACCAGCCCCAUGAGAGGACCUGUGUGGGAGGUGUGUGGUCCUGGCACAGGGCCUGGAACUGCCAGGGCAAGGGAGGGGAAGGACACCCAGCACUACUCUGAUGUGCAAACCCUAGAGCUGCCUCGUGGCCACCCCGGGAGGAGAAGGAGGGAGUGUGCAGGGCUGGAAGGGCUGACAGCGCUUUAGACACCGUAACUCCACAUUUGUGUUUUUCAUGCUUGGAGCUUCUGUAGGAAGAUGGAGGUUGGCCAAAGUUUCAGUGACUAAAAGUGUGAAAUUCAUUUAAGUCCAUCAAACUCAAACUUGUGCAGGCACCAGGCAGUCACCCUUGAUGAAGGCAGCUGGCCAGGCAUAAGGGACACAAUCCGCAGAGCCAACGAGACCAGAAAUGAUGCUGGACCACAGAGCGCGUGGACAGUGAGGAGCGGUGAGGCCUGUGCAGAGGGCAGUAGCCAAGCCCAACACAGCUGAGUGCAGCCACGCACAGCCCAGCCACGCCACACCACGCCCAGUCACAUCCAGCCCAACACAGCUGAGUGCAGCCAUGCCCAGUCCAGCCACGCCACACCACACCCAGCCACACCCAGCCCAACAUAGCCAUGACCAACCACACCCAACCCAGCCCAGCCUAGCCACGCCCAGCCCAGCUCAGCCGUGUCCAGCCCAGCCACGCCCAACCCAACACAGCCACGCCCAGCCCUUGGAAGCCACACCCCACUCCCCACACCACACCUGAAUACAGGCCUAGUGUUACCAGAACUUCUAAUUUUCCAACAGAAAUGUGCAAUUGGGGUCAUUAUGUUCAGUUUCCCAGUUUUGAAUAUAGUUUCAACUAUCUUGACCAGCUCUACUGAGGAUUAUUUGACACAAUCAACUGCACAUGUAAAAGUGAUGAUUUGGAAAGCUUCGACCUAUGUGCACACCCACGAAACCCUUCCCAUGGUCCACGGUGAACCUCGUCACCCACAGCAUGUCCUCCUGCCUGUGUCCUCCCACCCCUGUCCCCAGGAACCACCGAUGUCACUACAGACAACUGCAUUUUGCAGAAUUCCAUAUGAACGAAGUCACAUGUAUACACGCCUUCUUUCACGCAGCAUAAUUAUUUUCACGUUUGAUUUUGUCAUGUGUUUCAAAAUUCCACUCCUUUUUAUUUCUGCGUUGUAUGGAUGCACCAUGAUUUGUUCAUCCAAUCACUUGUUGGUAGACAUUUUGGUUUUUCCCCCAGGUUUUUGCUAUCACAAAUAAAACUGCUAUGGACAGUCAUGCAUAAGUCCUUGUGUGAACGCGUUUUCAUCCCUCUGGGAAGAAUUCCUAGGAGUGGAACGGCUGAGUCUCUGGUAGGGGUGUGUCUAGCUUAAGAACCUGCAGGACAGUUUUACAGAGUGGCCGAACCAUCUUCCAUCCCCCCCAGCAGUGUACGGCAAACUUUCAACAGCACUGCACAGCCCUAAGACGCACAUGCCUGUGGGUGCUGCCCAGCCGUGGCUGCCAGCUUGUCUCUGGUCCAGAUCACUUCUUGUUCAACAGAUGGGGAGGCCUAGGGAGACCACAGGCCAUGCCAAAGGUCAUGCAGCAGCUGUCAGCUGAGCAAGGCUGGCAGUGGCCCAGGCUGGUCAUGCCCCCUCCAUGCUGGCAACUGUCUCCACCAAGGCACACUCUGGUGGAAGCUGGAGGCAGGGGACACUACUCUAAGUGGAGUCAUCUGAGAGAUGCACCGACCACACCUCUUCUGUGUUUCUAUCCCCGAGCUCCCAGGGGCCAGGACCACCUGCCCAGGGAGUGCUCAUUGUGCCAAGAAGAACAUGACCCAGCACAGGGUCACUGCAGGUCCCUAAGCAGAAGGGCUGGCCCGGGCAGGACCCCAAAGGCUCGGUAGCAAGGUGCUCCUCCCGAAAGCUGUGAUUCCCGGAGUGAUCCGGGCUCCGGGGUGGGACCUCCUGGUGCAGGGUCCUGAGCUUCGCCUAUGCCAGGCUUUGGAAGCAUCCUCUGAGGGCCCCUUCGGAAGGAGCAUUGGGAUGAAUUAAACAGCAAGGCAGGGCUCGCCUAGUGCAUGCUCUGCUGACAAAUGCGGUCAUUUUUCUCGAUUCUGGGAAAGAAGGGAUACGGACUUGUUUCGUCUUGCCAUGUCUAGAACUCCUCUCGGAGUCUCCAGUUAGUAGGGAGAAGGGAGUGCCGUGGUCUCUGGGUCCUGCUGGCACGUGGAACCCAGUUCUGCAGGGUCUCACACCUGUCCUCUUCUUGUCACCCUCUCUGUCUUUCUCAGCAACUUUUCAGAAGCUUCAGAAGAAGGACGCCGGAGAAUGCCCGCCCGGGACUCCGAGGUGCCCUGUGCUCAUGGAUUGGUCCUCCUGGCUCCAUGAGUGUGAGUGAGUGUCUGCAGGUCCCUGGCACAAAAGCUGCAGUGCUGAGCAGGUGGCUAAUGGCCCUGGCUGGGUGAUUUUGGACAAGUCACCUUUGCCUCUCUGGCCUCCAUUGUCCCUCUGUCAAACAGGCCCCACGACAGCAAGCGUUGGUUAUUGUGUCUAUGGUCAACAUCCCACCUGCCUUUCUGGGCAGAGACGUUUGGGAGCAGUGGCUGUAUCCCUGAGCACGUCGUAAGGGCACUUUCCUGCAUGCCCUGGCUGGAGGGACCUGUUGCUGGGAAAACUCCCCAGAGUGUGAACCGGCGGCGGCUCCACCAUCUGGGUGCCGUGGGCAUGGUGCAUGGCGGGAAGGAGGCCGGCACCACAGAAGGGUGGCAGCUGUCCCCGGAAGGCUCUCCCCUGAGGGCGCCCAGGGCUCCACCGCUAGCCAGCCAUCUCCUUGCAGUAAGGCACGUUUCCUCCAGAUCCUCUCGGAACUGCCGGGAGUGGCUGCCCCACCCGCCCAGCUCUCCCUGGGUCCUGCCAGGCAGGGAAGCGUGAACCGAGACGGGCUCGGGAUGGCUCUCAGGCCCUCCCUGCUCUCAGCACCAAGGGAGGCACCCAGAGACUGAUCUGUGGGGGCAACGGAGACUCCGGGUCCCCCCACCAGGAUACGUCCCCUUUCUUUGCAUCUGAUGCUGACACACACAUACGAGGAGCCCAGAGGCAGAAACGGGACUCAGAGCCUGACGCUGAGGCUGGUGUGUGGGGCUGCCUCUCCCAGUGCUGAGGCUGGCGUGUGGGGGCUUCCUCUCCCGACACUGAGGCUGGCGUGUGGGGCUGCUUCUCCCGACGCUGAGGCUGGCGUGUGGGGCUUCCUCUCCCGACGCUGAGGCUGGCGUGUGGGGCUUCCUCUCCCGACGCUGAGGCUGGUGUGUGGGGCGGCCUCUCCUGGUGCUGAGGCUGGCAUGUGGGGCGGUCUCUCCCGACCUUGAGGCUGGCAUGUGGGGCUUCCUCUCCCGACGCUGAGGCUGGCGUGUGGGGCUUCCUCUCCCAACCUUGAGGCUGGCAUGUGGGGCUUCCUCUCCCGACGCUGAGGCUGGCAUGUGGGGCGCCCUCUCCCGACCUUGAGGCUGGCAUGUGGGGCUUCCUCUCCUGACCUUGAGGCUGGCAUGUGGGGCUUCCUCUCCCGACGCUGAGGCUGGCGUGUGGGGCGGCCUCUCGGGAGCAGGCGGCCUCGGGGAUCCUGGGGGUCAGCAGCCCCUCCACAGCUGCACCUCCCGGGACUGACCCUGCAGAACCCACCUCCCGCCAGCCCCUCCACAGCAGGACAGCACCCGCCUCCUUUUCCAAGGCCGCCUCGCCCAGUGGAGGCUGCAGCUCUACUGGGUGUGAGUCAGGAGGAAACGCUCGCAGCCAACACAGGCAGGACACGCCCACGUGACAUCGGAUCCCACGGGGAGGAGUCCACUGGGCAAAUCUGAACAAUGUGGGGGAAGAUAUUGAUGAGAUGUUAAACAUAACCCAUAGAAGAAGAAUCUACAAGUCCGUACUGACGUAAAUAAAUAAACAGGCAUUGGGGAGAGACAGCUUUUCCUUACCAUAGAAUUCCAACUCAGCCGCAGAAUCCUGGUGGGAACCGUCAUCAAAGUCAACGGGAGCAGACACCACCAAACCCCAGAUCAAAGUCAGCAUCGCCAGCAACGGGCACACGGACACCAGGAAACUCCAUCAGCAUUGCUUUUGCUGUAUUCUUGACAAAAUUGUACAGUUUAAUUUUUUUUCUUUUUUCUUUCCUUUUUUUUUUUAGAGAUGGGGUCUCACUGUGUUGCCCAGGCUAGAGUACAGUGGUGUGAUCACAGCUCACUACAGCCUUCCGUGGCUGGGACUACAGGCACACACCACCACAUCUGGCUUGUUUUUUUGUUGUUGUUCUUGUUUUACUGUUUACUUUGUAGAGAUGGGGUGUAGCUAUAUUACCCAGUCUUGACUUCUGGCCUCAAGUGAUCCUCCCACCUUGGCCUCCCAAAGUGUUGGGAUUACAGAUGUGAGCCACUGUGCCCAGCUGUAUAAGUGGAAUUUAAUUAUGAGGAAAUCUACAGUGAAUCCAAAUUAAGGGAUAGUCCACAAAAUAACUGACAAUAUUCUUUAGAAGUGUCAAUGUCAUGAAAAAACAAAGACUGAGGAUUCGUCCCAGAUUGAGAGACUAAGGGGCCACGAGGACUAAACACAACAUGGGACCCUGGACUAGGAAAGGGUGGUGAGUGGGACGGUCAGCAGGGGUGAGCGGGACGGUCAGCAGGGGUGAGUGGGAUGGUCAGCAGGGCGUGCAUGAGGGGUUUGCUGGGUGAUCCUGUUGUAUCAGUGGCCAUUCUCUGAUCAUUGUACAAUUGAUCACUAUCCUCAAAGCUAACUUUUUUUUUUUUUGAGACGGAGUUUCACUCUGCCACCCAGGCUGGAGUGCAGUGGCGCCAUCUCAGCUCACUGCAGCCUCCGCCUCUUAGGUUCAAGUGAUUCUCCUGUCUCAGCCUCCCAAGUAGCUGGGACUACAGGCACCUGCCACCACACUUGGGGAAAUUUUUGUGUUUUUAAUAGAAACGGGGUUUCACCAUGUCGACCAGCCUGAUCUCAAACUCCCGACCUCAGCUGAUCCACCCACCUCGGUCUCCCAAAGUGCUGUGAUGAGUGCCCGUGAGCCACCGCGCCCAGCCUCAAAGCUAACUUUUGGGGACGUUGGAUGAAGAGUCCACAGGAACUUUUCUACUGUUUUUGCAACUUGUUAAAACCCUGUAAUUACUUCAAAAUGAAAAGUUAAAAAAUGAUCUUUUAAAAAAGAGUUAAUACUUGCAGUAUAUAAAGGACUCUUGAAAAUCAAUGAGAAGAUGAAUGUCCUGUGGAGAGCACAUGGGCCGCGAUGCUCCGGGAAAGAAUGGCACAGAGCACAAGAGAAACAGCUCACGGGCACCACUGAUUAGAGAAAUGCCAAGGCACUCAAUGACGGCCAAUGAUGGCGUUUGAAAACAUUAGACUGCAAACUAGUGUUUACACCGUAAGGGUGCUCUCGUGUUGCUGGGGAGAGGGGGACGAGCAUAGCUCGCCUGCAGAGCAGUUUGGCAACUUAUCAAAAGUCCAAGCUGUGACCUUUCUCUUUUUGACCCCUACGCUGGAUGUCUCCACCCCAAAGCCCCCUCCCAGUUUGUACCUGGAUACUGAACUGUAGGGACCCCCAGGACCUCUGGCUCUCAGCUGGUGCAGCCAAGGGGAGGCUGGGCAGGAGACCAGGUGGACGGCUCCCACCCAAAGGAUGCCCCAGGUUGGGGGACAGGGCAGGACACCCCCUGAUCUUGGAGGUAAAGUCAUGUCUUACCCCAACCCCAAAGGUGCCCUACAUGCCACCCAUGGGGUGAGAGUAAUAUGGCAGCCACUGCCUGUCUCACUGAUGUCCAGCCUGGACCAUCUGAGGGGAGGGGAGGGAACUCAGGAAGCAGAGGUCGUGCUGCUCUCUGGAUCCCCCCAUCCUGUCUCCACCCCUGUGUCAGGGGGUUUCGGGUACCCUGGGGCCCUGACAGCCAAUCCCACCAGGAGCAGGGCCAUUUCCUGCCCAUGAAACUCCUACUAGGACCUGUGGGACCCGAGGGUGACUAACAAAGCUGUCCCAGAUAACACCACCAUGGAAGGGGUUGGAGAGCAGGGCCGCCGCUUAGUCCAAAGGAACACAGACAUCUGAAGGAUGGAUUCUAGGCUGUGUGGGCUCCGCGACCUGAAAGGCAGCGCAUUGGAUAGGCCUGAUUCUGGUUCUGGUUAAAGGUGGAGAAGUCUCCCUGAGCCCAGGAGGCUGAGCGGAUCACAGGGGCACCUUGAGAGGGAAGAUCGAUUUUUAGGGUAUGGCCCAGCCUUCCCUCAGGGCUGAGCAGAUCCACAGUUUUGAGAACACGGCUGAAAGGCGGGCACACACUCACACACGCAUGCACACACACACCCC
rnacentral:lncRNA from 1 species